AACAGUUGGGUUUUUUUUAAAGAUUUAUUUAUUUGAGAGACAAAGAGGACACAGAGGGAGAGAGAGAAGCAGACUCCCUGCUGAGCAGGGAGCCCUGGACCCUGAGAUCAUGACCUGAGUUGAAGGCAGAUGCUUAACUGGCUGAGCCACCCAGGCGCCCCCAAACACAGUUUAUAAUGUUAAAAUAAUAGUAUGUUUUGUGAGCAUUUAACAAAGCAUUCACUAAUUUUGACUUCACAGUUUUCCUUUCAUAUUUUGGAGCCAAUCAUUUUUUUCUAGGUUUUACGAAUAUUUCUGUGGAUAAGAAAACCUGGCAGGCCUUGUGCUGUGUCUAGAGUUUCUGGGGUCACCACAGAGCAGGAGCAACAAAAUGAGGUUGCCACCUUGGACCACCCACUGAGCAGCGACCCCCACCCCCCACCAGAAGCCUUUCACACCUAUGAGUUCACUUACCCUUGUCAGAGUCAACUACCUGCUGGUGAGCUCGGCCUAGGUCUUAGCAGAGUUGCCUGAGAACUAAUGGAGCAGGAAGAACACCAGCUCUGAAAUCUGACUAGUAACUGCAGCAUUGUGUCUUCCUCAUUUCAACCAGGGAAUAAUGGUCUUCAGCUCACAGAAUCAUG
rnacentral:lncRNA from 1 species